rnacentral:siRNA from 1 species
ACACGGAGUACAAGCCAACACAUC